CAUGGAAAGAAGCUUAAAUUUUCCCACUGAGUGUCAGUGAGUAUAACUUUACCCCAUACAGGCUGAAGGACCAUGAGCUGCUAUGCUGGGCAAAGAUCAGCCACAUGGGUCAUCUGCUCUUUACCUACCCUUGAUUAUGUGAAGAACAAGACUGUGCACACACAGGGAGGAUGGAACACACUAUCCAGACAGACACGCCUAAAAAGAGCACACAGGUGGAGAGACCCAAGAUGGACGCUACCAGGAAGAAUCUGAGAGACCCUGGGAAAGAAAGGUGGUUUCCAGGAUCACCAGUUGGGAAGGACAGAGAAGGCUGGGUCUGAGAAGGGAUUGUGACAGAGCAUGUGGAAUAAGGCAGGUUCCCUCCAGGCAGGGAAGAAACACCAGGAAAACAUCCUGCAAACAGAACUUUGUUUUCUGAAACUUUCAAGCCAGAAGAUGCUGAGUGAGCACUGUGCUUAAAAACACCUUCAGAGACUAGACACAGAAGACGUGUGAUGGAAAGAGGAAAGAACCCAAGGACGUGCAUUAUUUCUGCAGUGAAACAAAGCCUGCAAUAGCAGUAGCAGAGGGAAGCAUCCUGGUGGUAGUAUCAAAUAAAAAGGGACAAAUAUGUAUGGCAAGCACAGUAUGUCUCAACCCACACUCUGUGAAGACCAAGUCAGCAGGCAAAGGAGGGAACACACAGGCAAAUCAGCAGUGACAUGCAGGAUCUGUUCCAGUGGAAGUUGAUGUUGGCCUGGGCCUUGUUACAUGCAAGCACAACUGAUUAAUCAAAACUGCACUAUUGUGAACUGUGGAGAUUGCUAAUGCAACCAAGGUGAAUGGCCUUUACCAUUUGUGUUUAUUCCCAAAUGCAUUUGCUGGAGCCAAGAUGAUGCUUGUGCAUCUACAACACUGCUUCCCUUUGUACUGGAAUUGCUUUCCUCCGAGUUCAUGUUCCCAAAGCCCUACUCUGCCAUUUGCUUCAGUGUUCUUCUCUCUCCCCCAAGUUUUGCAGUAUCAUUGCUCUGACAUCCCCAGCAUGAUCAUACUCGACAUUAUCCUGUCUGUCUUUUCUUCCUGACAGCCACUCACAGGAAAUUCUCAUAUGAAGGAGGAUUUGUGAAGAGACCGUUGUCUCUGUGUGUUGCCUCUGACUUGUUCCCUUUUUGCAGUUCCUGUCAUAGCUCCCUGCUGCUCAGUCUCAGUUCUCUGAUGAAUCUAAUCUGUUUCCCCCUGCUCCUUGACUGAAGGUACCUUCAGAGCUGUUACUCAGUGCAUAGCAAGGGGGACAGCUUUAUCUUAUUACUCUCUUUUAAAAGCAAUAGCUUUGUGCAGAAUGUUUUCUUUCUUUGAGGUUGGACUAGAUGAUCUCCAGAGAUCUCUUCUAACCCUAACAAUUCUGUGAUUCUGUGUUUCUUCCCUUUUAAGUCACUCCUUCCUUUGCAAUUUGAGGUGGGCUCUUUAUUUCUCAGCUCAGAUUUGGACCCUGGGGUUUGGACAUUUCUGUCACAUUUCACUCAGUCACCAAACUCAACUGCUUUAAUCUGGAAAAUGGAUUCCCUACAUUGGUCAAAUUCAGUAAAUGCCUUUCAUGUGACUAUAUGUGUGUGUCCAUUCACAUUGAGGUACGAGCUUGAAGGCAGCAGUCAGAGGAUUCAGCAACCUGCCCCCACAUCUCUCUCUUUUCACCACAAGGCUUCAUAAAGUCCCACAUUCUUCUACAGACCUACUCCUUGCCUGUGGUUUCUUUCAGGUCAGUUGGACUGUGUGUCCAGCUCCUCCAUUUAAAACCAAUUUGUUCUGUCCCAGAGUUUGUUAGCAUGAGUCAAAUAAACCCCUUCAACACCUUCUUCAGACUAUUUCUCAUUGAAGACAUCUCUUUUUUCCCUUCUAAAAAGGAGAUGUUACAAAUACAUUUUCACCUCCUAAUACCACAGCCCUUGCUUGGCAACUGCUUCCUCAGAGUCAGUGGAAUUUCCCAGUGUGGAUGUGAAGGACCAACCACACUCCUCAGUGUCAUAUGGCUCCCAGCCAAGAUGUGCAAGUUCCCCUCCUGGCUCUGCUAGAAUGCUGAUUCAUUCAUUACAGAGAGCUUGGAGCUGAACAGCAAGGGGCAAAAAACCUGCUUAGUGAGGUGCUCUGUGAACACAUUUUUCCCUGCAAUGAAGUGGAGGAGACACUGAAAUGCGAAAUGAUCCUCACCACUGCUACUAGGGACCACAGUGUAGUUGGACUUUAUUUUUAGCUCUUUACCUCUUUUUCUGGCCAUUUAUUAUUUAUCUCACAUCUUGAGAGAGGUCACUCUUGCUCAUCACUCUAUUAACUUUCAGGUAGUCGAAGACUUCAGCUCAUGCCUUUCCCUGCUUCGAUUAGGUAUGGUCCAAUAAGCCUGACUACUGCUGGCAGACUCCCAAAGUUUCAUUUGCUAGAAAAUAACCUUAAUGCCCAUUAUUUUAUCCCCAAGGUACUUCAGGUUUCCAGAUAGCUUUCAAAUUUGAGUUUAGGAGGCAUAAAUAAGCCAGUUGAUUAAUUACAAGAGGUAGUUUAAUUCAUCAGAUUCCAUUUUUCAGCUGCUAAGUAAGAGGAAACCUCCUCAUCUGCCAAAAGGGUGCCUGUUGGCUCAUGUGGAUACUUUGUAUGGGAGCAGGCUGCCCUCACUUUGAAAUUCCUGCUAACAAAGAGGAAAGAUUUCUAACUAAUUUGAGGAAACAAUGAAGAAUGAGGCUACCACCCCCACUGCCCUUGCUCAUAGUUCUUCACCUCUGCAUCUUGGAUGACCACGCAAUAAACCAGCGUGCCUUUCACAUAUUGCUCUUCAUUUCUUUCUAUUCAUUUUGAUGGAAGCUAACAAAACCCCAUCAUCAAACAAGCACAGAGAUCAUCCUCACUAAAGGGAGGUUGGGAAAGCCUGUCUCCUGCUUGCCAUGAAGGCACACUCACUUAUAGCUACACCAGUGAUUCCCAGGAUCUGUGUUGUUUCCCCUGCUGCCUUCGCAACGGUGUCUCACCCCAAGGCUGCUCAACCUUCCCACAGUUGUGGCAAGUUCAGCCUAACCAUGGCAUUAGAAAAGGGCAUCAUAGGAACCCUUCAGUGUCUGCCAGGUUUGUGUCAGAGGUGCCAGGGUCCUUGUCUCUCCCUCCUAACUUGAGUCUUCAUGACUCCUGUUAGUACUGACUUCAUGGGGCUGGGACACCCUUCCCUUCCACGCAGGAAUGCUAUCUUUGCUGGUGCAGUCUGUGUCUGCUGCCUUUCCUCCAUCUCACUAGCAAAUGGCCCCCUCUCUUAAGGCAACCCCAACCCCAGACUGAGAGAUACAGAAGGAGAAGGGAGGACUAGGCCUACAAAAGGUUUCUCUGUGGCACCUCCCUAAGAGCGUCCUAUUAAUUUCAGCAACUUCUUCCAGAAUUUCCCCAUAGACAGAAGUUUUUAGUUGACUUGUAAGAACAUAAUUUUUUCACUAAGUGAAAUUGGUCUUGCUACCAGAAGCAGAGGCAAAUGACGUCUGUUAAUUCCUAUCCCCGCAUAACUCUCUAGUGGUUAAAAGCUCUGAAUGCAGAAAACAGCGGGGAAGGGGGCAGGGCAACUAAGUGAUGCCACAAAAAAUGAAAGCUAUCUUGAAACAGAAAAUUAGAGUAUAAUUGAAAGCAACUGCACUUUUUAGUUUAAUGCCCAUCCUAGAUACAAAAUGAAAACAGUAGCUACAAUUGUAAUGAAAUAAGGGCUUAAAACAGUCCUAACUAAGAGUGAGACUUCACAUCACAGACCUGGUUGUCUGCUGGCUUCUGGAGGAAGAAAUGAGGAUCACUUGGCACUUGCCAAUGUCAUAUCCUGACAUUUCUAAAAAAAUCUAGUAACAUACAGUUCAAAGACUACAAUAGCUACAAAAGAUGACUGAAAAUGCUAUGAAUGACCAAAAGUUGAAAGUUGGAGGUCUCAGAAUAGAUUAAUGGUCUAUGCAUAAUAGUGAGACAUACAUAGAAAAAUCAAGUACCUGAAAAUAAAUGAAGUAAAUAAAAUUCUAAAUCAAAGAAGAGAUUGCAGUAAAACACAUUAUCCUCUCCACCACCCCACCAUGCUCUGCUGACAAAAAUGUCUGAAACCCAUGCACAGUAAAAAAAUGCUCUGUCCUCUAAAGCAAGGUAAUAAGCUAGACGUGGAAGACCAUGGCAAUGAAGACACUGCAUCCAUAUUUCAAGUGUUUUCAUGACUGAUGAUGACAGAUCCUUUCCUGGCUGUGAGUGGUAUAAGAAGGAUCUAAUUUUCUUUGGCUUUUCUCAGGCAUACAGAAAAUAAGGCAAUGAAGCACAGAUAAUAUGGUUUGGCAAGUGACUUCUCAGAGUAUUCAGUAGGACAGAUCUUUAGCUUGCAUAUAUCAGCAUAGCAUCAUUGCCUUUAUAUUAGUUUAACAUCUGCCACAGGUUAUUAAUGGUACUGUUGCUGUUCUUUCUUAAUGGACAUUCAUACAUAUCCUAACAAAGAAUACCCAAAAGAGCUGUGUUAAAUCAAUGGAGCAAAACAAUUUACCCCAUAGUGGAAAGAAAUAUUGGAAUGCUAUUCAAGGGCUCCAAAACAAUGCGAGUAAUUCAGCCUGGGAUUUGUUUGAAAGAAAAAUGAAGAUUCAGGGCAUGGUUUAAUUUAUUUCUGCCAGGAUAUGGCUGCCCAUUCUUGUACCUCUAGCCUCUAUGCUUGCGUGCUUCUGUCUACUAAACUAAAUCCAGUCCUAGUAUGCAAAAUCACUCCCCAGUACAAGGAUUGCCUAAAUUAGAUUAACCAUCACUGGGCAACCAUGUGUCUAAUCCUUUACCUGGAUUCUUCUAUUGAUCAUAACUGUUUCUUUGUUCGGUAUUCUGUCCGAAUAUAUUCUAAAUAUAAAAUGUAAUGUUUGGUGGUGACAUAUGAGGAAUGGCUGGGGGGAGAGUGGGGGUUGUCUUACUUCUCAGUCAGCAACUACGAGCUCGACAUAUUCCUGCCCAUCUUACUGCCUCUCUUUGGACCCAAGAGUAUUUUCUCCCACAGGCACAGAAACCUGUACAUUUGGAAGCCAUAGCAAUAGGAAUAAAGCCUUUUAUAGUUUCUUUGGGUAUUGAAGCUUGCCUCAAAGGUCCACAUCUGUCUCUCCUGUUUAUUACCUACUUAACUAUUGGCUGUUCUUGGCUCUUCUGUCCUUCAGUCCACUAGCAAUUCAUCUGCUCUUAAUGAGGUGUCAAAAAUGAUUGAUAAUGCCUCUGUAAUUAUCUCUGCCUGCUCUUUAAGAACAUUUGGGUGAGACUAUCUGUCCCUGCUCACAUGUGAGCAUUUAGUUUGUCACCAUAAUUUUCUUUGUUCUUUUUCACCAGCCCAAACAACUGCUUCCUUAAUUGUUUUCUGACUUUCUCACCAACUGAAUCAAAAGUACAGCUCAAAAUGCAAAGCAACAAAUUCUGUACUUGCACAUACCUUGCUUGUGAAGUCUCACCGAGAUAAAGUGCAAGAUACAAAUCAGAGCACAUGUUAGCCUUAGAGAAAUGUGCUCUUGUAUUCUUCAAUCUAUUCCUUCUGGCUAAUAUGUUUGAAUCCCAAAUUGCCUUUGAUUCCUGUGCUUUCAUCUGCUGUGCCAGUCUGGGGGCCAAGUUUCUGUAUUAGAAGACAGAUUCUACUCUUUGAUGGGGGGUAGCCUCUGAAGGCUUUUGGUUGAACUCCAUGCCCAAAGCAGAUGGUAAAGUCAGUUUUACAAUCCGGGACCUUAAUUUGGCGUGGAUGGAUGCUCUAGAGCACCUAUAUUGUAAUGAAAAGAUAAAGGUGCUUUUGAGGUACACAGGGACAUUUCAUCAAUUUAUUCAGAUUAUGGUGCCUUGAAAAACAUCAUUACAAAUUAAGACAGAGGCAUGACCAGGACUGAUAAAGCCUGUUUUCACUGAAAAAUGAGUGUAACAUAAAUGUUGAUGUAUAGGAUAUCAGGAAAUGUAUUGUGAAUUUUGUCUUUUUAGGAAAGAUUCAGUGCAUUCAAACAAACACAAAUUAAUUUCCUUCAGGUACCCUUGAUUGUAGGUAAGAACCAUAUGACUGCACCAUUUUUUUCACUGUUUUUUUAGCAGUGCAAAAUAACUGAAAAAUUUAAUGCAUUGAAACUGAACAGCAAAAGGUACAUGACAUAAUUUUAAAAGCAUCAGGUCCAGUUUUUAGAAACUCAUUAGAAUUCUUUCUACAGACUUUGCAGAAGCACCCAACCAAUAUAUAUUUCAAGGCAUAUAUAGUGGGCUCUUCAUCCUGGUAUUAGAGAGGAGGCUUCACUGAGCAUAUUUACUGGAUACUCCUCAAGUAGGGUGGUCUCAUCCAAUCUUAGACAUCUAAAGCAAAGACAUUUAUAACAAUAAGUCUCCCUCCAGUCAAUGGAAAAAACUUAGGCAUCACCUUCAGAAGAGGAGGAAUUUUGCUCUAAAGAGUGUCUUUUUCUCCCACUUGGGAGAUAACUCCACUUUGGCCAAAGGAUCCAUUCAGAGUCUUCUUCCUCUGCAUUCUCUUGGAUUUGAUGAAAAAUCUGGGCUGGUCAUACAGGUUUCUCCACGGUUGUUUCAGAAAUCUGCUUAGGGUCAGAAGAGAGAUUUGGACAAGAGACUAAUGGUUAUGGGUUUUAUUGCCUUACUUGUGGAAUAGGAGAGUUUCUACUGGUACAAGAUGGGAGCACAGCUGCCAUUCUGAAACGGAAUCACUGCUACAGCAUAUCCUGCUGUUUUUUCUGGCACAAGCCUAAUGAAAUGUGCACUAAAGUUUAUUACACUGAUACUCUGUUCCUUUUAAGAUCUUUUUUUUGCAGUUCUGAUGGAGCGCUAUGAAGAAGGUCUACAGUUUCACUGGCAUCAUUAUUUUUUUAUUAAGUUCACCCACAUCACACUGUAAUUUGGUUUCCUGAUUUGGAAAUCCUGAAGGUUCUCAGUAUUCUUUCAACCUAUCCAUCACAUUAAUGUCCGUACCAAACACGUCCUCUCCAGCCACUGGCACAGAUCAUUAUGCACCCUGCACUUCCGCCCUAGGCAAGUCCUGUUCUAUCCCAAUCCAGUUACCCUGGCACAGAUGGAUUUUGCAGCCAUUCUAACUACCCAGUCAGUUAGAAGAAAUGAUCUAAUGUUGGCACCAAUGAGAAUUUUGUACAUACCGCUUUUUGUCCCCAAACAGGAGAAAGCACACCAAACUACCAUUGCUGGCUGGGAGGAUGCCGUCCUGAAAACAGGAUGCUGCUAUGUGCAUUGCUCUGCAUAAGCAGCGGGACCUGCUCAAAGUGAUCAGCUUCCAGUUUGGGUAAUUUCUGUGAUCAGAGUGAUGAGCUCUGUACAGUUAUCCAUGAUGGAAAUAUAAACACAUAUAUACUAUGUCGGGGUCCCUUCCCCCCUGCCAUGUGGUCCUGGGAGAGGGGCCCUGGGCGGGAGGCAUGG